GAGCUUGUAGCUCAGUGGAUUAGAGCGUGCGUCUCCGAAACGUAAGGUCGAGGGUUCGAGUCCCUUCUUGCUCA
rnacentral:tRNA from 2 species